rnacentral:rRNA from 1 species
UUACUGCUCAGUAACACGUGGCUAACUGCCCUCGGGACGGGAAUACCCCCGGGAAACUGGGGCUAAUUCCCGAUAGGUGAAGAACUCUGGAAUGAGUCUCCGCCCAAAAGACGCUUAAAUCAUGCUUUUAGGCGCCGCCCAAGGAUGGGGCCGCGACCGAUCAGGUAGUUGGUGAGGCAACGGCUCACCAAGCCUUUAACCGGUGCGGGCCGUGGGAGCGGGAGCCCGGAGAUGGGCACUGAGACAAGGGCCCAGGCCCUACGGGGCGCAGCAGUCGCGAAAACUUUGCAAUACACGAAAGUGUGACAGGGCUAUCCCGAGUGCCAUCCGCUGAGGAAGGCUUUUACCCAGUCUAGAAAGCUGGGAGAAUAAGGAGAGGGCAAGUCUGGUGUCAGCCGCCGCGGUAAUACCAGCUCUCCGAGUGGUGUGGAUGUUUAUUGGGCCUAAAGCAUCCGUAGCUGGCCAAGUUAGUCCCCUGUUAAAUCCACCGAAUUAAUCGUUGGUGUGCGGGGGAUACUGCUCGGCUAGGGGACGAGAGAGGCCGACGGUAUUUUCGGGGUAGGGGUGAAAUCCUAUAAUCCCGAGAGGACCACCAGUGGCGAAGGCUGUCGGCUAGAACGCGCCCGACGGUGAGGGAUGAAAGCUGGGGUAGCGAACCGGAUUAGAUACCCGGGUAGUCCCAGCUGUAAACGAUGCAGGCUAGGUGUUUGGGCGGCCACGUGCCGCUCUAGUGCCGCAGGGAAG